rnacentral:rRNA from 1 species
AGAGUUUGAUCAUGGCUCAGGACGAACGCUGGCGGCGUGCUUAACACAUGCAAGUCGAACGGUAAGGCCCCUUCGGGGGUACACGAGUGGCGAACGGGUGAGUAACACGUGAGCAACCUGCCCUUGACCCUGGAAUAACAGUUGGAAACAGCUGCUAAUACCGGAUACGACCUCUUUCGACAUCUGAAGAGGUGGAAAGCUCCGGCGGUCAAGGAUGGGCUCGCGGCCUAUCAGCUUGUUGGUGAGGUAACGGCUCACCAAGGCUUCGACGGGUAGCCGGCCUGAGAGGGCGACCGGCCACACUGGGACUGAGAUACGGCCCAGACUCCUACGGGAGGCAGCAGUGGGGAAUAUUGCACAAUGGGCGAAAGCCUGAUGCAGCAACGCCGCGUGCGGGAUGACGGCCUUCGGGUUGUAAACCGCUUUCAGUAGGGACGAAGCUAACGUGACGGUACCUACAGAAGAAGGACCGGCCAACUACGUGCCAGCAGCCGCGGUG